GAAAAUCUGGUUAUCAUUUUGCAAGGAAUGCAUAAUUCACACAUGAAAGAUAGGGGCAUUUGAGUAGUUUCACUAGCUUAAUCACUUCUAUAUAAGCCAUCUGAGCUUGCAAACGUAGCCCAUCAAGCAAAUCAGUAGCUCAAGGAGUGAGUACAAGAAAAUGUCUCCAAAAUUGAUCGUUUUGUUAGCUAUUUUCUCCCUCCAAUGCCUCUUGG
rnacentral:misc_RNA from 1 species